GCCUGUGACGUCGCUUUUUAUGGCGUUGAUACAUUCGCGUGAGGAACAGUUUUCAAUUUUAUUAGGAUGUUUUGUUUUGUUAUAUCGUAAAUAAAUUUUAGGUAAUUGUUUUUAUUCUGCGGUUUACAUGUCGAAAUGUUUAUUAUAUUAUUUCUUUAUGCAUUUUCCUGAGUAUUCUUGUAUUUAUUUGUACUCUAUUCUUGUCAUGUAAUAGGUGUCAUUAGUGGAAUUCUAAC
rnacentral:lncRNA from 1 species